ensembl:lncRNA
GCUGAGGAGUUCCCUUUGGACACGUGGAAUGUGAGCCCGUACCUGGAUGCCCAGGUAGAGAUCAGGCAGCUGCAGAGGCCGGUCUAAGGCUUGCGGGGCUAGACCAGGUGGAAUAACUUACAGUUUGAUAGCUGGUUAAAGGUUGUUUCUGUUUUUACCAUUUAUUGAGAGUAACCUCCAAAAAAAAGUCACUUUCUAGCUUACAAAGGUGUUGUGAGUGUUAAAAGCACCCAGAUCACCUCCUGAGACAGGGGUGUUGUGUGUCUCCUGAGUGCCCUGAGGUCCGGCGCCUUCCCGGAGUUCUAAAAGGAGCAGAGCAGCUGUGCUUGGUGGGUGGGACGCGCGGCCGAGGGCCAGGACUGAGCCUUCCUGCUGCGGACUGUGUUGUGUGAGCAGGUCGGGGAUCAAGCAAGAGUCUGUUUCUUUGAAGAAUUCCCCCAGGAGCCGCGUGUCAUGCCAGUGUUCUCUAAGAGGACAGAAAAUGUCUUCUGUUGCCAGAUGGAAGGGAAAGACGAGGAAGGGUAUACUGGAAAGGAGCUUGACGAACGCGUGAUUUUUCGAGAAAGUUGCCUGUAGAACAGACACCCUGAAACACAGGGACUGAAAUCUUACUAAAGAUGCAUUUCAAGCUGCAUGUGUGUGGGAGAUGGACAAGCACGUUGAAAAACAUCUGUGCCUGUGUGAAGACCGCCAAAAUGACGUUUACAGAUCGUCUCCUCCGAUCCAGAUGUCAGCUCUCGAGGCCACGGACCUGCUCUCCUUGUUCUUGGGUGUGUUCCCUGAGCCAGCACAUAAUUAGCGCUCAACAAACGCUUGCUGUGAACAAAUGAAUGCCGUCCUUGAGAUGAGGUGGCUUCGGAAGGCUGGGCCGUGGACGUGGCACAGCCCCGUCACACUCGGACCCAUGAGCUAACCAGACCUGGCGGCUUAGACAGGUGAGCCAUGCUUCCUGUGAAGGUGUGGGCGCCAGCCACGGCUCGUGGGUGUGCUGUGCCGCCCUUUCCAGUUUUUUGGGUCUCCUUCCAGUUUCCAUCUGAUCCGCAUUCUCUGCUUUUCUCGGAUUCUUUCUCGUUCAAACCUGCUUUCUCACCUCUUUAGUUUUAUAAUACUUGUCACAGGUUAGAUUAUGCCAACGCUUUCUUUGCAGCUGAAAAAGCUACUGGAUCUUAACCUGCCUUCGACACACACACACAGUUCUAUUAGUUAUUGUCAAAGUUGGGGGCACUUUCCUUUUUGGUUAUUUAUUAGCCUAGUAUUGUUACAGUUACAUGAAUUUGUCAUAAAAAGUCUUGUAAAAUGAUGCAAUGUAUUCAUAUAAUUCCUUUGUUAAACAGCUCUCAAACCAUGUGAAAUGAGAGGUUCUGAGGAAAAUAAGCUGGCAGUUAGAUACUUAGCCAAUUUUCUUUUGCAUUUGCAUUCAUGUUUAUCUGCGGUAUUAUGACCUUCACAAAAUUGCCCUGCUACCGUACCAGCUUCUUAAUUAAAUGAACACCAUCGCUACAACUCUGAUAAAUAAAAUGAGCAUUUCCACAUGAAUUAGAAAUGCCAAGUUGUUAAUAGCCUCCCUGAGGUUUUGUCACAAAAUUUUCAGUGUUUUUGUCAUUGUUCAGGCAUAAUAAAUACCACAUUCCAAUCUGGAAAUAACAAUGUUCUGCAGACAGUCGAUUCCCGAGUGUGGAUUGGAUAUUCCACAAGACAGUUUUCUCCUCCUUCCUAUUAUAAUCCACGACAACAGUUAAUUGGUUAGAAAAAUAUUUCACAUUGUUUUAUUUUCGUGAAAGCCACCAAAUUCACAUCAGUCAAAAGAUGAAGCUGGUCUCAACUUGGUGAGAUUAGAAAAUGUACAACCUUAAAAAAAAUACUGGAUAGUAAACUUCUUAAAGACAGAGAAACUGCUGUACGUGUCUUUGUUUCCCUGGUAUUCAGCUGGGUAAUUUGGGCCUCCGACUGCCUCAGUUUCCUUUCUGUAAAACGGCGAUAAUACUAGUGUUCCACACUUCAUAGGCCUGUUGUGAGGUCUAAAUACUUGGAACGCGCUCAACCAAGCGCUUAGCAUGAAGCAAACACCGACCAGAUGUUACCUGCUGUUGUCAGGCUUAAAAGGACUCAGUAGUUACCGCCUGGUGACGACAAAAUGCAGUUGGCUACCUUUCAACAACUCAGAAUGCUCCCUGAGUCCUUCCAAGAAGAGAUCCUGUUCGGCCUCCUUCAAAGAUUGGAUGACUCAUCCACAAUCCACAGGGCCACCCCCAUACCAACCGUUAUUGUGCUAAAGUCCUUUAACCAGCUGAUUUCUUAAUUAAACCUAACAUUUUCCUCGCACUCUUGUCUGUUCUCUGCGUUUUCUUGGUAAGUCUUUUCAGUAGUAUGGAAGAGAGCAUCGCUCUAGCCUAACCAUGUGCGUUUGCCCACAUUUUACAUCAGUGCCAACUGGACAGAGGAAGUUAUGCUGUGUUUUAAAUCAGUAGAACGGGUACCACAAAUAAUGCACAUUUGUUCGUGAGACAGAGCCCUGGUGUACUCUCCGCUCAGCGUCAUCUGUCUUUCUCUCCUAACCACCCCCUUGCUUUCAACUCCCUUGUUUGACGUUAUCUCCAUCUUGGAACAGAGUCUUUGAAUUCAUUACAGGGAGCUGCAGUUUCCACCUUGUUUUUCAUAACUUACGUAUGUGGAAAGUCCCCAUUGUUUUGUUUUAAGCUUAGUGAGGCAUUUCAUUAUUUUGGUGACUUCUUUCUUGGCUCCAGAUAGGUGAUAGCAACAGCAAGACGAGAACAGCUGUCAGGGACUGCACUAGCCAGGACAUACCCAGGCUGCCUCUGAUGUUUGCGAGGCCUGGGAAAAGAGAUCCAAUGGGAGCCUGCAUUCCUCAGGCUGGAGACCUCUCCUCACCUCUCCCACUCCACGCCAGGCACCCUCCGCCCACAGGUGCCCCGAUCUCACUGCCUUUUAAGUUCCUAGAGCAACACAAAGCUGGAAAGUCCAGUUCAAAUGUAGAAUUCUUGGCCUCCCUGGAGCUCCAUACUAGAAUGUGGCAGCACAGGGAGACGGUCCCUGGUGCCCAGCCUGCCGCCAACUCCUUCUCUUCCCGCCAGUCUCCAGUCCCAUGAAAACUCUCACAUACGGGCAUGUGGACACCCAGCUCUGCUUCCAAGCAGACGCCCUGCAAAUAGUUGCCCCUUGGCCAUUCAAUGGGCUGGCAACCUGGGCCCUGGGUACAUGGAGAAUGUUCUAGAAGGGAGGAGGUGGGCUUAUUCCUUGAAAGUGCUGUGCCAGGACCUCUUGCCUGGAUCUAAAGGCAGUGCUUACUAGGGAUUAUCAUUCUUCUCAUAAAGAUGCAGUUCCUGACCCCAAACUGGGUAUUGGAGAAAGCAGUUCAGUCAAAUAUAAAAGUAGACUGUUUGGAACACUGUGGUGUAUUCGACACAUUAUAAACACUUUAGAUGAGGCUAAAGAAGCGUAGAUGCCAGUGUUGCUACAGGAGCCCCCCUGGAGGAGGGGGGACCUGAACCAGGUCCCAGAUGAAGUGGGAACAUCUGUCCCUUAUUUUCUAUCAGAAUUUAUGAUGGCCUUUCUCUUUCUGUCAUUGCCUGUCAUUUCACAUAUUUUCUUAGACAUUUUUUUCUUUUAGUUUUUGUCAGAAAAACCAUUCUGGCAAGACCUCAGUUUUGUGCCCAUCUCAUUUUUGUGUGGCCCUCAAAAUGAAGACAAGCUCCUUAAAGACCACCACUCCCACUCCUGGCCUCCACCCUGUGAGCUUCAAUGGUUUCUAAAAUGUUUGGCUCAUGCUCUACCGCAGUCAAGGGCCAAGACGUUUCCAGAAGUUUCAGAGGCAAAAUGCUUUGUCUGAACUGGGCUGCUUUGGAUCCUGUCUCCACGACACAGACACUUUCCUCCCGGCCUUCCGAGCUUGGCCCACAGUUGGCCCCUCAGUCACUUGCUCCGUGUUAGGACAAGUAAGGAAUCAGAGCGGAAACACUCUAGUUUUCUCUGUCUCUAAACUGCCAUCCUGGGACGCCCUGGUGAUGACUUAGGAGAUAAAUCCCAAGGCCCCGUGUAGCUGGCCCGCAGCUACUUGUCUUCCCCGUGGGCCAGAGCUUGUCCUUUGUAACGUUUAUGUUUGCAGCUGUAAAGUUUAUUCUUUGGUUUAGGGCACGAAAUGAUAACUGGCUUACGCAACUCCAGAAUUAAAGCAGAGAAGGUAGGGGACACAGGAUUCUUGCGUCUUCAAUGAAAAAGCUCAAGAUGACGGCCCCGGCUUUUCGACUACGGAGGCUGUGAUGAAGCAGAAAGAAUUUGGAUUGUGAAUCUGCCCUUCACUGGACUCGCACUUACUGAGCCCUUGCUGUUCGAGGCACCCAGGACGCACAGGUGGGCGCCACCACAUUCUAUAGGGUGGCCCCACCAUAAGCUUCGCUCAGCCUCGCUUUCCUCAUCGGUCAAUGGUACAAACAUGGACACCACUCAGGGAGAAUGGGAAAAUUACAGAAAUGGAAAUGGCACACCUGGCUCUCAGGUGUGACAAAAUAAACCUUGAAGAGUCUGUGUCCAGGUGCCUGGCGCAUCCGGGUGACUCCUGCUCCAGUCCCUCCGUGUGGUCCUGGGGUGGGGGCCCCAGACAGCCCAUGGCUGCCUCAGAGCAAGCUGUCUGUCGUAAGCACAUAAUGCUGAACUGCUGUUUCUGUAGCACAGAAAAUUCCAGCAAGUUUAGCACCCUUCAAACAAAGAGGAAAAUGUAUUAUCUUUCCUGAAGUCCCAUCGAAUAUUGGAAAAAAUAUUACCAAAUUUAACUUCAAAGUAUAAUUCUUAGAAAGUGACUGAAGUGUACCCCCCAGCCUUCCAGAGUGUUCUAGGUGCAUCUGGAGCUCAGUUAUGACCCUCCCCAAGUUCUCUCACCUCACGCGAACCCAUCUGCUCUCAGAGUUGAGAGAACAUUCAUUUUCCUGAACUCUCUUAAUCUGACUCUGUAGAAUUGGGCAGCUAGCAUCUCAGGAACUCAAGGUCAGAGGAAAUUCUGAGCAAGGCCCUGUAUUUGCUGGGAAGGUAAAGAGACCAUUUUCCAUUUCUCACUUCUCGCUCAAAGCAUGAAAACAACGGGCCUGUCUGGCCUAGUUACAGCUCUCUGUCUCUGAAGCCUUCCUGGCGGCAGCACUGGGCCUUCCACCUUACUGAUGUUCCGGGAUGACCCCAUCCUGGUGCUGUGUAUCCAUCCCACCGGGUCACUGGAGGGCAGACACCAGCACGGAAGGUGUUGUUGAUUCACUCCCGCAAAUUUCAUCCCUUGCAUUAUGGGGGCAAUCAUAAAAUGCUGCUCCUAAAAAUGCAAUAAUAAAAUACCCAGCUGAGGACUCUCAGUACAACUUGUCUGCCAACCUUCUAUUUUUAUGAUGGAAGGUUGAGCUGUGAGGGAAAAUGAAGCCCAGAGAAAUACACUUACUGUAAUUUCUUUCAGUAGAGAAAUAAAUUUAGGCAUUUUCUAAUUUUUACUUCAAAAAUAAAAUCUGCCCCUCUAAUUCCAUGAGAUGUCUCAAGAGUUACGGAGAUUGUGAUUGACAGCCCUGAGACCUGAAGUUCAGGAGGCGCAGAGAAUUGGGGGUGGGAGUGACCAGGUGGUUUCGGCUCAUAGCAGAACUUCUCCAUUUAAGAAAAUGAAGGGGUGGCAGAACGCAAGUUCUACGAGAAUGGCUAGAAAACGAAAUUUUCAUUUAUUACAGAAUUCAUCCAAUGCUGCACAGCUGUUUGAGAUUUCAUAAAAGUCCAGGCUGACAUUAAUGAAGAGCCUACCUUCUGAAAGAACGGGGCUCGACAUUACAGCGAGGUAGGGAAAACAAACCCAGGCACGGGGAAGCUGACAAGGCUUGGGGCAAGGAACCAAAUGCUACAGGAGGAGCCUGAGGCCACAGCCAGCCAGAGAGAUGCACAGAAAGGAGGCUGGGACAGCCACUCCAUGUUUCUCAUCGUGGCAGAAUAGUACCUAAAAGCAUUAGCUGAUAUUUCCCCAAGUGUGGCCAACUCAUCGUGCCUCAGAAUCUCUUGGGGUGUUUGUUAAAAAUGCAGAGUCCUGGGCUCCAUCCGUAUCUUCCCGAAUUAGAACCUUUAGGAAUAAGAAGGUGGAAUCUGCAUUUUAUACACAUCGCCCAGGGCAUGUUAUUCUGCUGUUGCUCUCCAGCUCUCUUCUACAGGGUCAGACAGCAAACACUUACUAGGUCCCUACUGAGUGUGGAGAAGUCUCCUAGGUAUUGUGUGGAUGUGCCAAAGAAGCAGAAGACGGUUUUGUGCCCUAUGGGGUACACUCUAAAGGUGUCCCUAAUCCUCGGAGGCAUGUCCCCAGGUCCUCUUCCUGCCUUCCCCUGACAGUGUUCAGUGGGAAGCUCCAGGGCCUCACAUCUCACCAGUUUCUCUUCUCACAAGUAGAAAACCAAGUUCAAAUCAGGCAAAUGCUUCAUUGCCCAGGUAUGGAAGAAGGAUAAAGCCAGAAGUAGGGACAGAGGGCUGGUUCCCCACAGGAAUCUGGGAAAUUCCAGAGAAGAUACCAAGCAACCGCACUUUGGUGAGAGGAGGGGGCGGGGAGGGGCCCCCACUGCAUUCCAGCGGGCCUGGGUCCUACCUGACAAGGUGUCUAGUCCCAUUCUUCUCCACUUCUCCGCCCCCCCACUCCCGCAUUGGUUCCCUUUACCCGGGAGAGCUCCCUCACCUCCCAUUCUCUCCGCAGCAUCUGCACAAGAACCCCAAGCUAAGGAUGCAGCAAGCUGGUUAACUAUCAAACCAACGUGGCUGACCACUGGCCUGGCCUUGACCCCUGAUCAUCUUUGCCUCCUCACUUCACUCUGCAAAAGAUCCCCUCUCCCCGCUCUCCUCGCCAUCCUUACUCACUUCCAGUCUGUGGUCAAGCCCGUGGCCUUGGAGCCUGCUCCGUGAGAUGCGAUUCCCCCAGGAGAAAAGUUUUUGGAAAGCAAAGGGAAGGAACCCGAGCCGGGAUCAGGCCGCAGCAGCCCUCCCAGGUCCAGGCUGGGGCGUCCAGGGCCUGGGCUGCAGAUGGGGCCCUCGAGGUCAGGCCCGCCGCCUGCAGCACCAGGUUCCCGUAAGUGCGGCGCCUGCGCCACCCAGCGGACACAGCGGGAACUGCACGCCCCUGCGCGCCCGGCUCCGUCCCACCGCUCCCGGCUGAGCGCAGAGACAAUUAAGAACGACGCCUGGCGCCGAGCGAUGCUCGGUGUAAGGUUGCUAUCAUUCCUGUGCCGGGAACGAAUCCACUUUUAGCAGAAGAAGAAACCGGAAUGGUAGUAAUACCAACAGUGCAGACGAAGAUGGUGACAUCUCCUAUUUCAGUGGCGCUUUAAAUUUCCCCACGGGUCCAUGUUCUGGGCCAGUGAACUGUUUUACAGCCUGGGGCGGAAGCGAGAGGUCUGCGCAGUGUUACCAGCUGGUGCCUUGGAGUCCUGGGUUAAACAUUGCUUAGAAGCAUUCAGCUAUUCUCUGAGCUGCCCUUGCCCUUCAUACUGCAGUCCCUGGACCCGAAGGGAAGCUGCGACCGGGGGGCUCUCCCCUGGCUCUCGGCGCCCUUCUCUUUCGGCCUCCCAGAAGCGACAGGAUAUUUUCCGCUGGUAUCGCUCCCUACCUGUGUGAGCAGAGGAAGCUCAGAAAGGCCAAAGGAGGCCUCGGGGAAGGGGAGGGUGUUGUGGUCUCACCUCCUCGCUCUGAGGCUGCUGCUCCAGGCAGGCGGUAAUCCCCCGGUGUGUCCUCGCCGCCACCAGCCCUUCACGCCACGCUCCGGCUGAUGUGGGAGCAGGAAGUGGUACCUACUGGCCGAGCAGAACCCCUCCAGCUGACCAGGUCUGCAUCCCCACACCCAAGGCUGUCUUAAAACUGUGGAUCCCUCCCUGCAGGGGUUUGGGAGCCUCCCCGAGCACCA